rnacentral:tRNA from 1 species
GGGGCGUUAGCCAAGCCCGGUAAGGCGCGCGAUUCUCUAUCGCGUAAGCGCGGGUUCGAAUCCCGCACGCCCUG